AUUGAACGCUGGCGGCAUGCUUUACACAUGCAAGUCGAACGGCAGCGCGGGCUUCGGCCUGGCGGCGAGUGGCGAACGGGUGAGUAAUACAUCGGAACGUGCCCAGUAGUGGGGGAUAGCUCGGCGAAAGCCGGAUUAAUACCGCAUACGACCUGAGGGUGAAAGCGGGGGAUCUUCGGACCUCGCGCUAUUGGAGCGGCCGAUGGCAGAUUAGGUAGUUGGUGGGGUAAAGGCCUACCAAGGCGACGAUCUGUAGCUGGUCUGAGAGGACGACCAGCCACACUGGUACUGAGACACGGCCCAGACUCCUACGGGAGGCAGCAGUGCGGAAUUUUGGACAAUGGGCGAAAGCCUGAUCCAGCAAUGCCGCGUGUGUGAUGAAGGCCUUCGGGUUGUAAAGCACUUUUGGCGGGAACGAAAAGGACUGUGCCAAUACCACGGUUCGAUGACGGUACCCGCAGAAUAAGCACCGGCUAACUCCGUG
rnacentral:rRNA from 1 species